ACGUAGGGUGCAAGCGUUAAUCGGAAUUACUGGGCGUAAAGCGUGCGCAGGCGGUUUUGUAAGUCUGACGUGAAAGCCCCCGGCUCAACCGGGGAGGGUCAUUGGAAACUGGGGAACUUGAGUGCAGAAGAGGAGAGUGGAAUUCCACGUGUAGCGGUGAAAUGCGUAGAGAUGUGGAGGAACACCAGUGGCGAAGGCGACUCUCUGGUCUGUAACUGACGCUGAGGAGCGAAAGCGUGGGGAGCGAACAGGA
rnacentral:rRNA from 1 species